UACGUAGGUGGCAAGCGUUGUCCGGAUUUACUGGGUGUAAAGGGCGCGUAGGCGGGCUUUCAAGUCAGAUGUGAAAUACCGAGGCUUAACCUCGGGGCUGCAUUUGAAACUGUUAGUCUUGAGUAUCGGAGAGGAAAGCGGAAUUCCUAGUGUAGCGGUGAAAUGCGUAGAUAUUAGGAGGAACACCAGUGGCGAAGGCGGCUUUCUGGACGACAACUGACGCUGAGGCGCGAAAGUGUGGGGAGCAAAC
rnacentral:rRNA from 1 species